CCGGAAUUUUCCUUAUUUGUUUAGAUUUUUAUUCUUUCCAUAUUAUUGUAAUCUUGGACAAGUUAUGCACAAAUUUACUAGAUUUUCUAGGUAUUUGAGUCUAGUAUAAAUAUAGAUUAUUUUCUUUCAUUGGAGGUUAGACACUUUAUACAUUAAUUUGAGAGAAUUUUAAUAGAGACUAUUGUGCUUUCUUCUCCAUUCUUCAUUGACAAUUGGAACUUAACAAGGAUUGUAAUUCUUGUGGCGUUCUACAACUCGGGUGCGAGUCUUGGAUUGUGUAAUCAAGGGGUCCUUCAAGCAAUGAUCAUGCUGGGUUUGUUGGUUCACUAAUUUGGGGUUCAAUCUCUAAACCUCUAAUUUGGCAUUUUGGAUUUUGGAACAAUCUUGCUGUGUGUUUCGUAGUCAACUUUGCUACGGGGUUCACAACAUCACAACUCUGCUCUUUGAUUCCCAUCAAGUGUCACCAACACCCUUCUUCUUUUUCCUGCGCAUAUAUGUAUAACGAAUUGAUGGUCUAUCAACAUCCUCUCCCUUAUUGUCUCCACUGUCAAACUUGACCGUAUUGCUUAAAUUUCGAAGUGAUUCAUAGAACCUUGAGUUUGAAUGUCAUGCUGACUCCUGACAUUUCUCCUCUUGUUAAGUCAUUCUUGGAAAUAGUGCUGGCUUUAUACCUCCUUACUAGGUCAAGCUUUCACCUCAUGGUCCAUCUGAUUCUUUGUUGCCCAGUUAUAUCCAAGACUAGGCUCCUCAUUUAAAAACGAAUUUUUUUGUCCUGUAUAAUUCUCUGUUUCAUUCUGAAGUUUCGAAACACAAACAUCUUUAGAACUACCCAAUUCUUCAUAUUUAAUCACCAUGGGUACACCAUUUUUCUCAACCUCAAGCAUAUAGGACUUCUCAUAGAGUUUGAGUCUACCCAAAAAAAGUUCAUAUUGAGGAUCAACAACACUAUUCUUCUCACUCUUCUUGCCAACACCGUUAGGUGUGUCUCUUUUUCUCUUAAGUGUUUUAAAUUUUUCCGUCUCACUUAUACCAGUGAGAAUAAACCACUUGUAAUCCUUAUUCAUAUCUGAUAUUUCCUUGAGUUGUUGUUGACGUUCAUACCAUCCAUUGCAUGUCUAAACCAUUCUUAGUCUUUGGCCUCCUAGAAAGCAUUAAAUAAUUCAAAAUAUCAAACCUAUUGAGAUCCUUUUGCUACAAAUUAUAUCACUUAAUAUGCUGAACAAAAUGUUGAGUAAUUUUCUCCGUUAUUGCAUCCUUAGAAAAAUAAAAUUGAACCCGUUCAGUUGUGCAUUGUUUCCAGAACCCUUCCGGAGCUGCAAAAAGUAA
rnacentral:lncRNA from 1 species